rnacentral:lncRNA from 10 species
UUGCGCCUCUAUGACCCCAGGCUUGGCUCUGAUCCUCACUCCGGAUCUUGCUCCUGAUCUCUGGAGUGGUAGAAAUAAUCCAGCCCACACGUUUUAACUUGAAUGGAUUUCUGUAAGUGACUGCAUCUCUUUGAUCUGAGGCUCCUGUCUGCAAGGGGCUGCUGUUCGUGUCCUUUUCUCUGCCCAGGACAAGAACGAUGUAAUUGGAACCACCAAUGGCAGACACAGAAAGAAAACAGGAUUGACAAGCUGGCACCAUGUGAGCCCAUGAGAGCCAAACCAUGGCAAGGGGAUUGCAGAGAGUCAGAUUCUCCACUGAGCCCUGCCCCGGCAGGAAGGCAAGCUCCAGUCAAGGGUGGAACAAGGUGACGCCCACGUUCAGCCAUAGGAAGCUCGCACAUCUCCUGCCACCAGCCACGACAGCCCCCGUCCUGCACAGGCAGGCCCGAAUCUUGGGAAACACAAUGGCUGCCGCCAUCACAGUUAUAGAUAUUCACAGGUCUCAGAGAAGCCCAAAUGCAAUCCUAGCUGACACGAUAACGGAUAUUUAGCAGGGAGUGGAGAGCCCAGGGAAGAAUACUGUGAUGCUGAUGGGGAAUAUUGAUGACUCCCAGUUUGCAGAUAGUGGCACGUGGUGACACCUCCUCACUGUGUGAUCCAGGGGCCUUCCCUGAUGUGGUCCUGGAUGUUUCUGUACUGAUGGCCUCACUCCCCUGGCUGCUUGGCUCUGUACUGGGAUUUUCAUCUCAGGAUGUGUGAAACCAGCCUGAAGACAGUUCUUGUAAAAAUGUCCUUGAAACCAUGAAAUUGGCGCAAGACCGAUCAGAACUGAGAUAGGAAAGUCACUCAAAGAACUCGAAAGCCUACCAGGCCAGAAAGGGUGGUCUACGACUUAAUUGGUUGUAUCAACCCAUGUAAGCAAGGACUAUGUCCUUCAGAAAUGGAUGAACGAGAAUGGAAAGCUGGAGGAAGGAGAGACAGUCACACAUGGGCAGUGCUCAUCAGGAAGGGCUCUGCUUGGCAACAGUGCGUCUGAUCCACCUGUCAGGUAUAUCCUUAUUUUGAAGGUGAGACUUCCUGGGAUUUUGGAGACUGAUGCUAAACUCUGAGCUCCAAGAAAGCAGGAACAAUGUAUCUAACUUGUUCACAGGGCCUCAUGCAAUGUAGGUAUUUGAUGAGUGUUUGUGGAAUGAACUCAUUGACUCUUUUAACAUUCAAAUCUUUCAUAUAUGCAUAUAAAUACAGAAGUUAUGUAUUGUA